rnacentral:rRNA from 1 species
UACGAAGGGGGCUAGCGUUGUUCGGAAUUACUGGGCGUAAAGCGCACGUAGGCGGAUUGUUAAGUCAGGGGUGAAAUCCUGGAGCUCAACUCCAGAACUGCCUUUGAUACUGGCGAUCUUGAGUCCGGGAGAGGUGAGUGGAACUGCGAGUGUAGAGGUGAAAUUCGUAGAUAUUCGCAAGAACACCAGUGGCGAAGGCGGCUCACUGGCCCGGUACUGACGCUGAGGUGCGAAAGCGUGGGGGAGCAAACAGG